rnacentral:rRNA from 1 species
GAUGAACGCUGGCGGCGUGCUUAACACAUGCAAGUCGAACGGAAAGGCCCAAGCUUGCUUGGGUACUCGAGUGGCGAACGGGUGAGUAACACGUGGGUGAUCUGCCCUGCACUUCGGGAUAAGCCUGGGAAACUGGGUCUAAUACCGGAUAGGACGAUGGUUUGGAUGCCAUUGUGGAAAGUUUUUUCGGUGUGGGAUGAGGUCGCGGCCUAUCAGCUCGUUGGUGGGGUAAUGGCCUACCACGGCGUCGUCGGGUAGCCGGCCUGUGAGGGGGUACGGCGACACUGUGGGUGUGAGACGGGGCACAGUCUUACGGGAGGGAGAAGUGUGGAAUAUAGCACAAUGGGGGCGAGCGUGAGGCGGCGACGCGGCGUGUGGGGUGAGGGCGUUCGGGGUGUAAACUCCGUUCGCUAGUGUCAAAGCGUGUUUGUGACGGUACCUGGAGAAGAAGCACCGGCUAACUACGUG